rnacentral:rRNA from 1 species
AGAGUUUGAUCCUGGCUCAGAGUGAACGCUGGCGGCGUGCCUAAUACAUGCAAGUCGAACGAUGAAGCUCUAGCUUGCUAGAGUGGAUUAGUGGCGCACGGGUGAGUAAUGCAUAGAUAACAUGCCCUUUAGUCUAGGAUAGCCAUUGGAAACGAUGAUUAAUACUGGAUACUCCUUACGAGGGAAAGUUUUUCGCUAAAGGAUUGGUCUAUGUCCUAUCAGCUUGUUGGUGAGGUAAUGGCUCACCAAGGCUAUGACGGGUAUCCGGCCUGAGAGGGUGAACGGACACACUGGAACUGAGACACGGUCCAGACUCCUACGGGAGGCAGCAGUAGGGAAUAUUGCUCAAUGGGGGAAACCCUGAAGCAGCAACGCCGCGUGGAGGAUGAAGGUUUUCGGAUUGUAAACUCCUUUUGUUAGAGAAGAUAAUGACGGUAUCUAACGAAUAAGCACCGGCUAACUCCGUGCCAGCAGCCGCGGUAAUACGGAGGGUGCAAGCGUUACUCGGAAUCACUGGGCGUAAAGAGCGCGUAGGCGGGAUAGCAAGUCAGAUGUGAAAUCCUAUGGCUUAACCAUAGAACUGCAUUUGAAACUGUUAUUCUAGAGUAUGGGAGAGGUAGGUGGAAUUCUUGGUGUAGGGGUAAAAUCCGUAGAGAUCAAGAGGAAUACUCAUUGCGAAGGCGACCUGCUAGAACAUAACUGACGCUGAUGCGCGAAAGCGUGGGGAGCAAACAGGAUUAGAUACCCUGGGUAGUCCACGCCCUAAACGAUGAAUGCUAGUUUGUUGUGGAGCUUGUCUCUGCAGUAAUGCAGCUAACGCAUUAAGCAUUCCGCCUGGGGAGUACGGUCGCAAGAUUAAAACUCAAAGGAAUAGACGGGGACCCGCACAAGCGGUGGAGCAUGUGGUUUAAUUCGAAGAUACACGAAGAACCUUACCUAGGCUUGACAUUGAUAGAAUCCGCUAGAGAUAGUGGAGUGCUAGCUUGCUAGAACUUGAAAACAGGUGCUGCACGGCUGUCGUCAGCUCGUGUCGUGAGAUGUUGGGUUAAGUCCCGCAACGAGCGCAACCCUCGUCCUUAGUUGCUAACUAUUCGGUAGAGCACUCUAAGGAGACUGCCUUCGCAAGGAGGAGGAAGGUGAGGAUGACGUCAAGUCAUCAUGGCCCUUACGCCUAGGGCUACACACGUGCUACAAUGGGAAGCACAAAGAGAUGCAAUAUUGUGAAAUGGAGCAAAUCUAUAAAACUUCUCUCAGUUCGGAUUGUAGUCUGCAACUCGACUACAUGAAGCUGGAAUCGCUAGUAAUCGUAAAUCAGCUAUGUUACGGUGAAUACGUUCCCGGGUCUUGUACUCACCGCCCGUCACACCAUGGGAGUUGUAUUCGCCUUAAGUCGGAAUGCCAAACUGGCUACCGCCCACGGCGGAUGCAGCGACUGGGGUGAAGUCGUAACAAGGUAACC